AAAUGCGAUAAGUAAUGUGCAUUGCAGAAUUCAGUGAAUCAUCGAAUCUUUGAACGCACAUUGCGCCCGCCAGCACUCUGGCGGGCAUGCCUGUUCGAGCGUCAUUUCAACCCUCAGAACCCCUUGCGGGAUCUGGCGUUGGGGAUUGGCAUCCAGCCAGCCCCGAAAUCUAGCGGCGGUCCCUCCGCGACCUCCCCUGUGCAGUAGCGAUACCUCGCAGCGGGACAGCGGUCUGACCACGCCGUAAAACCCCCAACUUCUCAAGGUUGACCUCGAAUCAGGUAGGAAUACCCGCUGAACUUAAGC
rnacentral:misc_RNA from 1 species